rnacentral:tRNA from 1 species
UAGAAAGUAAUAUAAAGGAAGUAUGGAGGGUUUUGAUCCCUCUCGUACAGGUUCGAUUCCUGUUUUUCUAA